rnacentral:rRNA from 1 species
GACGAACGCUGGCGGCGUGCUUAACACAUGCAAGUCGAACGGAAAGGCCCUGCUUUUGUGGGGUGCUCGAGUGGCGAACGGGUGAGUAACACGUGAGUAACCUGCCCUUGACUUUGGGAUAACUUCAGGAAACUGGGGCUAAUACCGGAUAGGAGCUCCUGCUGCAUGGUGGGGGUUGGAAAGUUUCGGCGGUUGGGGAUGGACUCGCGGCUUAUCAGCUUGUUGGUGGGGUAGUGGCUUACGAAGGCUUUGACGGGUAGCCGGCCUGAGAGGGUGACCGGCCACAUUGGGACUGAGAUACGGCGCAGACUCCUACGGGAGGCAGCAGUGGGGAAUAUUGCACAACGGGCGGAAGCCUGAUGCAGCAACGCCGCGUGCGGGAUGACGGCCUUCGGGUUGUAAACCGCUUUCGACGGAGACGAAGCGUGAGUGACGGUAAUGGGUAAAGAAGCACCGGCUAACUACGUG